AACCACUUCUAGAACAAGAAGUUGUUGAUACCAAUCAAGAAAUUCUUGAGGAAAUUAUGUUGGGGAACAAAGAAAAUCAAGCCAUGAAGACUUCAAUUGAAAUUGAAGAAAAUCAAUUUGUGAAACGGACAAGGGAAUUUGAAAAUUCGAAUCUUGUUCCUACUUCCUAAAGACCUUUCAACUAUCGUUCCAAUUGAUUUUAUUUGUUUGGAUGCUCUUAGUGAUGCAAAAGAAAGUGUGAGAUUCUUCAUUUCAAUCUCAUUGCUAACUUCCAAGAAGAUGAUACUAUGCGUUCUCUGCAACUGUUUUGUGAUCCUUCAACACUUCAAGACUUAAGGACGAGUUUUUUCCAAACAGGGAAGAAUAAUGCAGUAUUGAAAGAGAUAAUUUAAGAUUUAUGUUUAUUGUAAAAUUAGGAAAUUUGAAGCUUUUAUUAUUUAAGAAUUUCAUUAGUUUUAGUAUUCUAU
rnacentral:misc_RNA from 1 species